rnacentral:rRNA from 2 species
UGAGUUUGAUCAUGGCUCAGGAUGAACGCUGGCGGCGUGCCUAACACAUGCAAGUCGAGCGAGAAACUUACAUAGGAAUCUUCGGAUGAAUAAGUAAGUGGAAAGCGGCGGACGGGUGAGUAACGCGUGGGUAACCUACCCUAUACAGGGGGAUAACACAUUGAAAAGUGUGCUAAUACCGCAUAAGCACACAAUAUCGCAUGAUAUUGUGUGAAAAACUCCGGUGGUAUAGGAUGGACCCGCGUCUGAUUAGCUAGUUGGUGAGGUAAUGGCUCACCAAGGCGACGAUCAGUAGCCGGCCUGAGAGGGUGAACGGCCACAUUGGGACUGAGNCACGGCCCAAACUCCUACGGGAGGCAGCAGUGGGGAAUAUUGCACAAUGGGGGAAACCCUGACGC